rnacentral:rRNA from 1 species
AUUGAACGCUGGCGGCAGGCCUAACACAUGCAAGUCGAGCGGUAGAGAGAAGCUUGCUUCUCUUGAGAGCGGCGGACGGGUGAGUAAUGCCUAGGAAUCUGCCUGAUAGUGGGGGAUAACGUCCGGAAACGGACGCUAAUACCGCAUACGUCCUACGGGAGAAAGUGGGGGCUCUUCGGACCUCACGCUAUCAGAUGAGCCUAGGUCGGAUUAGCUAGUUGGUGGGGUAAAGGCUCACCAAGGCGACCGUCCGUAACUGGUCUGAGAGGAUGAUCAGUCACACUGGAACUGAGACACGGUCCAGACUCCUACGGGAGGCAGCAGUGGGGAAUAUUGGACAAUGGGCGAAAGCCUGAUCCAGCCAUGCCGCGUGUGUGAAGAAGGUCUUCGGAUUGUAAAGCACUUUAAGUUGGGAGGAAGGGUCGUUACCUAAUACGUGACGAUUUUGACGUUACCGACAGAAUAAGCACCGGCUAACUCUGUGCCAGCAGCCGCGGUAAAAC